rnacentral:rRNA from 1 species
GGGGAAUCUUCCGCAAUGGGCGAAAGCCUGACGGAGCAAUACCGCGUGAGGGAGGAAGGCUCUUGGGUUGUAAACCUCUUUUCUCAAGGAAGAAAAAAAUGACGGUACUUGAGGAAUCAGCAUCGGCUAACUCCGUGCCAGCAGCCGCGGUAAUACGGAGGAUGCAAGCGUUAUCCGGAAUUAUUGGGCGUAAAGGGUCCGCAGGUGGUACAUCAAGUCUGCUGUCAAAGACCGAAGCUCAACUUCGGGCAGGCAGUGGAAACUGGUGAACUAGAGUACGGUAGGGGUAGAGGGAAUUUCCAGUGUAGCGGUGAAAUGCGUAGAGAUUGGAAAGAACACCAGUGGCGAAGGCGCUCUACUGGACCUGUACUGACACUGAGGGACGAAAGCUAGGGGAGCGAAAGGGAUUAGAUACCCCAGUAGUC